rnacentral:misc_RNA from 1 species
AAGGAUCAUUAUAGAAUUAUAAGCGAGGGUUGUCGCUGGCCUUUCGGGGCAUGUGCACGCCCGAGCUCUUAAAUCCACAACACACCUGUGAACCCACCGUAGGCCUUCGGGCUUAUGUAUAUUUAUACUCUGUAUGUGUCAUAGAAUGUCCACGUUGCAUUAAAAACGCAAUAAAAUACAACUUUCAACAACGGAUCUCUUGGCUCUC